AACGUAUAAUCAAUUGCCCUCAAGACGAGGAUAGCCAUUAGAGACGUGGGUAAACUUGAUAAGCUCACGGUGCGGCAUCGCACUUUGCGAAAGGAUGGGAUCUUCGGACCCCUCGCUUGAGGAUGAGAUUAUAACCUAUCAGUUAGUUGGCGGGGUAACGGCCCACCAAGACGACGACGGGUAGCCGGCCUGAGAGGGUGGACGGCCACACUGGAACUGAGACACGGUCCAGACUCCUACGGGAGGCAGCAGUGCUGAAUUUUCGCCAAUGCGCGAAAGCGUGACGGUGCGACGCCGCGUGCGGGACGAAGGCCUUCGGGUUGUAAACCGCUGUCAGGGAGUAGAAAAACCAUAUAGUUAAUAGCUGUAUGGCUGAUCAUUCCCAAAGGAAGCACAGGCUAAUCUCGUGCCAGCAGCCGCGGUAAUACGAGAUGUGCGAGCGUUGUUCGGAAUCACUGGGCAUAAAGGGUGCGUAGGCGGUGUGCUAAGUCGGGUGUGAAAUCCCUUCGCUUAACGAAGGAACUGCACUCGAUACUGGCACGCUAGAGGGUCAAAGGGGCAAGCGGAAUUCUAGGUGUAGCGGUGGAAUGCGUAGAUAUCUGGGAGAACGCCAAGGGCGAAGGCAGCUUGCUGGGUGACAACUGACGCUGAGGCACGAAAGCUAGGGGAGCAAACAGGAUUAGAUACCCUGGUAGUCCUAGCCGUAAACGAUGAGCACUUUGUUCCGAGAAGCCUGAUCUUUUCGGAGCCGUAGCAAAUGUGUUAAGUGCUCCGCCUGGGGAGUAUGGUCGCAAGGC
rnacentral:rRNA from 1 species